GCGGGAGUGGUGGAAUGGCAGACACGGCAGACUUAAAAUCUGCUGGCCGCAAGGUCGUGAGGGUUCGAGUCCCUCCUUCCGCA
rnacentral:tRNA from 2 species